rnacentral:rRNA from 1 species
CGGACGGGUGAGUAACGCGUGGAGAACCUGCCGUAUACUGGGGGAUAACACUUAGAAAUAGGUGCUAAUACCGCAUAAGCGCACAGCUUCGCAUGAAGCGGUGUGAAAAACUCUGGUGGUAUACGAUGGUUCCGCGUCUGAUUAGCUAGUUGGUGGGGUAAUGGCCUACCAAGGCAACGAUCAGUAGCCGGCCUGAGAGGGUGAACGGCCACAUUGGGACUGAGACACGGCCCAAACUCCUACGGGAGGCAGCAG